rnacentral:rRNA from 1 species
CCUACGGGAUGCAGCAGUGGGGGAUAUUGCACAAUGGGCGGAACCCUGAUGCAGCGACGCCGCGUGGGUGAAGAAGCGCCUCGGCGCGUAAAGCCCUUUCAGCAGGGAAGAAAAUGACGGUACCUGAAGAAGAAGCCCCGGCCUACUACGUGCCAGCAGCCGCGGUAAUACUUAGGGUGCAAGCGUUAUCCGGAUUUACUGGGUGUAAAGGGGGUGCAGACGGCGGUGCAAGCCCGGAGUGAAAGCCCUGGGCCCAACCCCGGGACUGCUCUUGGAACUGGGUGGCUGGAGUGCAGGAGGGGCAGGCGGAAUACCUGGUGUAGCGGUGAAAUGCGUAGAUAUCAGGAGGAACACCGG